rnacentral:tRNA from 1 species
CGGGGAGUGGGGCAGCUGGUAGCCCGCGUGGCCUGGGACCACGAGGUCGCGAGUUCGAGUCUCGCCUCCCCGACCA